AUGGGGCAGCUCCCGGGGGACGGCCCUAUAGACCCUGGAGGACGGGCCAGGAGGCGGCGUUGCCCCUUCUGCUGCCCAGACGCGGGCAGCCCCCCCCCCCCCCGUCCUGGCCUCGCCUCCCCCGGGCCCCACCCCGCCGCCACCCCGCGAUCAUCUCCACCGCGACAAGAAAGGAGAGACCCCCCUGGCUUUCCCCGCCACCCCGAAUCCCUCCAAACCGCCUUCACUGCCUUCCUCUCUGAAAGAAACCAGGGCUGCGCCCCCACGGCCUGGUCUGCUUCUCCUCGCGCGGAUCCCGCCGUGUUCGAGGCCGGCCGGCACGUGGCUCCUGCACACCGGCUAGGGAUGCGUUGUGAAGAAUCCCCCGGACACGGCAACUGGAUGAAAGACUCCAGUGUGAGACGUGGUGCAAUGAACGUCGAUGAAUGCUCAUUUCAGCUGCUGCUAACCCGGGUCCUUGCGUAGCCUCAGGAAGCCUGUCCACUCGAAGAACUCGGCCUGUGAACGUAGGCAGACGUAGGUAUGGACGUAGUACAGCAGAGCAGUGCGGGAGCGCGGGGAAGACGCCUCACAGUUUACAGCAGAGUCUCUGCAAAACGUACAUGUGACCCCAGAACUGAUGAUUUCUACCGACUUGGCUGGGGAAAUACCGAAUAGGGGAACCCGCUUCCCACACAACUGGUGGGAGCGUUCAGUUGUUGAACUUUUCUGUAGGGCAGUUGGGGUCCUAUCUCGUGUGUGCAUGGGGGUGGGGGGGAGGGUUAAAAUACGCGUAAGAACCUACUACGAAGCUAAAAUAAUGCAAAGCAGUUGGGGGACAGAGAGAGACAGAUUAGUGACAGAGAAUGUAAAGCCUGGGGCGGGCGGGCCCAAGAAUAGAGCAGAUCUGUGGUGCGGUGAAGGGAUUAGUGCAAACCCGCAGAAACAAUGGGGAAGGGGCGCGGGGCGGGGGGGGGCUCAGCAGUUCAGCGUCUGUCUUUGGCCCAGACCGUGACCCCGGGGUCUUGGGAUCGAGUCCCGCGUCAGGCUCCCUGCAGGGAGCCUGCUUCUCCCUCUGCCUGGGUCUCUGCCUCUCUCUGUGUCUCUCAUGAAUAAAUAAAUAAAAUCUUCGGAAAGAAAAAAAAGA
rnacentral:lncRNA from 12 species